rnacentral:tRNA from 1 species
AAAGAAUUAGUUUAAAAAAAACAUUAAAUUGUCAAUUUAAAAAUAUUUAAUACAAAAAUAUUCUUAU